rnacentral:rRNA from 1 species
GAUGAACGCUAGCUACAGCCUUAACACAUGCAAGUCGAGGGGAAACGACAUCGAAAGCUUGCUUUUGAUGGGCGUCGACCGGCGCACGGGUGAGUAACGCGUAUCCAACCUGCCCACCACUUGGGGACAACUUUUCGAAAGUAAGACUAAUACCCAAUGACGUCUCUAGAAGACAUCUGAAAGAGAUUAAAGAUUUAUCUGUGAUGGAUGGGGAUGCGUCUGAUUAGCUUGUUGGGGGGGUAACGGCCCACCAAGGCGACGAUCAGUAGGGGUUCUGAGAGGAAGGUCCCCCACAUUGGAACUGAGACACGGUCCAAACUCCUACGGGAGGCAGCAGUGAGGAAUAUUGGGCAAUGGACGAGAGUCUGAACCAGCCAAGUAGCGUGCAGGAUGACGGCCCUAUGGGUUGUAAACUGCUUUUAUAAGGGAAUAAAGUGAGAGUCGUGACUCUUUUUGCAUGUACCUUAUGAAUAAGGACCGGCUAAUUCCGUGCCAGCCGCCGCAGUAA